rnacentral:lncRNA from 1 species
UGGAGUUCCAAGUUGAUGUUCAUAAGUUCCAAUGGUCAAUGUAUCCAAACUGAUUUUAAAUUCCAAAGAAAGGAGAUAUUUUCCAUCCAUAAAUCCAGUCCAGAAAACAUGAAGAACAUCUUGAAGAACGUUGAUGACGGUGGGCACUCUUGCCUUGUGACCUUUGGUGGAAAAAUUUCUUUCACAAAGUCUCUUGGCUACUGUCACCUUGGGAAAUGGAGGCACAAUCUGUUUGCUUUGCCACAUGAGCCAUCCUUGAAACUUGGUCAGAGUUCAUUAUGCUACUUGUUUAGGCCUCAUUUAGGCCGAGGUGUGGAGGAACAUAAAACUAAAAAUUUAGCUUGAGGCAGAGAUGGAAUGGAUUUCACUUUUGUAAGGGAAUUAGAAAUGGCUUUAGGAUAGAUGGAUUUUAUAGAAAGGAAAUAAAUGUCCUCGGAGGAAAAACUAGCCAAUAGAAAGAGUGUAAAGUACAAGGAGAAUGCUGGGACAAGCGACAAGCACACAGAGAAUGAAAAUGACUGAAGAGGUGCAUGUGAAAAUCCAUUAAGAAGGAAUAAGAGAAAAUGAUCUCAAAGUGUGCAUACUAAGACAGGAAGCAAAUGCAGCCCCAGCCGACUGAAGAAAAAGAAUGCUCAUUUCUCUGGCCAGAACUGCAAAAAGGAAAUAAAUUUGAGAAAAACAAUGAUUAUCGAACAUAUACACAAAACAGCAAAAGCCAUAAAAAUAUAUAACACUUGGAAUCACGUGUACUUU